GCAGUGGUGAUUGAAUGGUACAAUUCUUGCCUUCCAUGCAGGAAACAUGGGUUCUAUUUCUGACCAUUGAA
rnacentral:tRNA from 1 species